rnacentral:tRNA from 1 species
GGUUGUGGCUCAGGGGUAGAGCGCUUGCCUAGCAUGUGCGAGGGACUGGGUUCGAGUCUCAGCACCA